AACGAACGCUGGCGGCAUGCCUAACACAUGCAAGUCGAACGAGACCUUCGGGUCUAGUGGCGCACGGGUGCGUAACGCGUGGGAAUCUGCCCUUCGGUUCGGAAUAACUCAGGGAAACUUGAGCUAAUACCGGAUAAUGACUUCGGUCCAAAGAUUUAUCGCCGAGGGAUGAGCCCGCGUAGGAUUAGCUUGUUGGUGAGGUAAGAGCUCACCAAGGCGACGAUCCUUAGCUGGUCUGAGAGGAUGAUCAGCCACACUGGGACUGAGACACGGCCCAGACUCCUACGGGAGGCAGCAGUGGGGAAUAUUGGACAAUGGGCGAAAGCCUGAUCCAGCAAUGCCGCGUGAGUGAUGAAGGCCUUAGGGUUGUAAAGCUCUUUUACCCGGGAUGAUAAUGACAGUACCGGGAGAAUAAGCCCCGGCUAACUCCGUGCCAGCAGCCGCAGUAACAC
rnacentral:rRNA from 1 species